rnacentral:tRNA from 2 species
GCGCCUGUGGUGAAAUAGGCAGACACGCCAGAUUUAGGUUCUGGUGCCGGAAGACGUGCAGGUUCAAGUCCUGUCAGGCGCACCA